AGCUAGUGAGAAGGCAGCCCCUCCAACUUUUACCCCUGGUACACUUGUAGCUGAACCAUAUUCCUGGAAGAGUCUGGUAACCGGUCAACCGAUACUCCGGCUAAGAUCAUCAGCAAUCAGAGCUGCUGUGCUGUGUUUACCAGCUGGACGCCAUGUUUUGAAGUUUAUGAUGUGAGGUCCACUAGGGUAUCAUGUCCAUCUGUGCUCAUCUACACAGUUUGUGUUUGGCGAUGAAGAAACAGUUAUGGCACAGCUUACAAAGGAAAGCUGUAUAUUUGUGGACAAUGCUAGCCAGGUGAUCAGCUGUAUUGGGAAUGUAUCAAUGUGUUUGGAGACCAAGAAGAGUUUGUAAAGGCAUGGAGGGAACUGACACAAGCGCACUGCCC